GAAACUUACAAUCAUGGCAGAAGGCAAAGGG
rnacentral:piRNA from 1 species